rnacentral:rRNA from 2 species
UACGGAGGGUGCAAGCGUUGUCCGGAUUUAUUGGGUUUAAAGGGUGCGUAGGCGGCCUUUUAAGUCAGCGGUGAAAGCCCGGGGCUCAACCCCGGAACUGCCGUUGAUACUGGGAGGCUUGAGUACAGACGAGGUAGGCGGAAUUGAGGGUGUAGCGGUGAAAUGCUUAGAUACCCUCAAGAACACCGAUUGCGUAGGCAGCUUACUAGGCUGUAACUGACGCUGAGGCACGAAAGCGUGGGGAGCGAACAGG